GUGAGGGACGGGGACGGUGUCUUGCAGCACUUGCGGAGCUUGGCGCUGAGGAUCUGUGACAGGCUGCUGGCGCCGGCCGCGCCAGAGGACGACGAGCCGACGCCACCGCGGCCGUCCCGCGCCGCUGCUGGGGCGACGAUGAUCUCCCCGUUGGCGCUCCUUGGCACGGGGAAGUUGGUCUUGGCGUUGCGCCCGCUCAUCAGGAUGGCGGCCUCGUCGUACGCCCGCGCCGCCUCCUCCGCCGUCUCAAAGGGCUGAUUUCUGACACUCAAGCCAGUGGAGUACUACCCGUAUACAUUUCCGAACGGAGAAGACGAGUGGAGGACAGUACCGCUCCUACUCCACAACAAUAAAGCAUGCGUGAAUGCACGAUACGACGUGCCCAUGAUGGACGUGGUAACUCAUCAGGCAGUCAAGUUAACUACGCCAGUUCCAAAGCCACCGGCCACGCACUCGCGGCCGAGCCACGGGGGAGAACACUAGACUUGCAAGAAGUUGGCCGGCAAUAACUGCAUCCUCCUCCCGAUCCAUCAACCCAUCGACCCGCCGUUCAUCCGGUAGUACGACUCGCUCGCUCAAUCACCCGCUCGCUCAAGCAGCCAAUCAUGGGUCCAUCCAUGGCGUCGACCGGCAGAGCUCCGUAAAAAAAGGUGAAAGGAAAUUAAUGGCGCCAGCGGGAAUUGAGUGGGCACGAGCGCGCUUUCACGGCUCGGCUCCACUCAGAUACGCGUGUCAGUGAGUUCGUCUGGCGUGCGUGCAGGACGACGGAUGGAAGCUUCUCUGUCCUGCCCUGCUAGCCCGAUCGAUCGCACGUACAGCGGUCGCACGCGCGGUCCUUUCUUUCCAGUGGAAAGUGCGUCGCAGCAGCAGCCGCGGGGCAGGGCAGGGCAGGGCAGGUUAAGGUGGUUGUUGGCUGUGCGUGUGACCGGCGCUGUCAGGACAUGUCUGUGUGAAAGACGGUUAAAAAGGGCGCCAGGGGCAGUUACGCCGUGCUGGAGGUACGAUGCCGUUACUCCUCCCAGUCCUCUGGUGACCAAUGCCAGUGAGUGAUUUGAUCUACUAGUAGCAGACAGCAUCCGGCAACUCGAUUAUACUCCUACGGCUUUGUAGGACUGCGUGGUGUUUGGAACCUUGGAUGCUAAUGUUUAACCUCUGAUGUUUUCUUGAGAAAUGUUUAUCCUCUAAUUAGGUGGCGCGGGUAAUGACAGUGCUUCAGGAGGGACUAUUUUGGCGUUUAACCAAGGUAGGAGAGCCCUCUACUUGCUUAAUCAGAGGAUACUCAUUUUGGUCUCUGCUGAGCUGACGCCCUGUGCAAGUUCACAUUGUGCACGCGAGAGACGGCGGGGCCGAAGCCGAGCUGGCCGGGCCGGGCGCCGAUCGUUUCGGGCAGCGGAGGGCGGCGACCGGUCCUGUGUGGCGUCCAGAUCGGCAGAGAAGUCUUGGAUCGGGAAGGCGCGUGCUGGUUACACUCGGGUGUGACCUCGAAGAGGCAUCUACAGCUGCAUGCACGGUGAUGGAGUGGUUGGCGACUUCCCAGACUGUGCUAAUCAGACCUUUCUAAUAAAACCCAUAGGAUUUAAUCCCCGCCUAAUCUUGUUCCAGCGCAAUUAGAAGUACUGGAGGGCAAUCGAUCGUUCCAAUUAACUGCAACUUUGUAUAAUCAAUUGUGGCUCCAGCUUGGUUAGGUACUGGCACUGCAACUCCACCUCAGUAAAAGCUUCUAGUCGUACGCGUGGUGGUUUUA